rnacentral:piRNA from 1 species
UCGUGCUUUUCUUAUUGCCAGUUCUGUUGU